AUACAUGCAAGUCGAGCGAACAGAUGAGGAGCUUGCUCCUCUGACGUUAGCGGCGGACGGGUGAGUAACACGUGGAUAACCUACCUAUAAGACUGGGAUAACUACGGGAAACCGGAGCUAAUACCGGAUAAUAUAUUGAACCGCAUGGUUCAAUAGUGAAAGACGGUUUUGCUGUCACUUAUAGAUGGAUCCGCGCCGCAUUAGCUAGUUGGUAAGGUAACGGCUUACCAAGGCAACGAUGCGUAGCCGACCUGAGAGGGUGAUCGGCCACACUGGAACUGAGACACGGUCCAGACUCCUACGGGAGGCAGCAGUAGGGAAUCUUCCGCAAUGGGCGAAAGCCUGACGGAGCAACGCCGCGUGAGUGAUGAAGGUCUUCGGAUCGUAAAACUCUGUUAUUAGGGAAGAACAAAUGUGUAAGUAACUAUGCACGUCUUGACGGUACCUAAUCAGAAAGCCACGGCUAACUACGUGCCAGCAGCCGCGGUAAUACGUAGGUGGCAAGCGUUAUCCGGAAUUAUUGGGCGUAAAGCGCGCGUAGGCGGUUUUUUAAGUCUGAUGUGAAAGCCCACGGCUCAACCGUGGAGGGUCAUUGGAAACUGGAAAACUUGAGUGCAGAAGAGGAAAGUGGAAUUCCAUGUGUAGCGGUGAAAUGCGCAGAGAUAUGGAGGAACACCAGUGGCGAAGGCGACUUUCUGGUCUGUAACUGACGCUGAUGUGCGAAAGCGUGGGGAUCAAACAGGAUUAGAUACCCUGGUAGUCCACGCCGUAAACGAUGAGUGCUAAGUGUUAGGGGGUUUCCGCCCCUUAGUGCUGCAGCUAACGCAUUAAGCACUCCGCCUGGGGUACGACCGCAAGGUU
rnacentral:rRNA from 1 species